UACGGAGGGGGCAAGCGUUGUCCGGAAUUAUUGGGCGUAAAGAGCUCGUAGGCGGUCUGUCGCGUCGGAUGUGAAAAUCCAGGGCUCAACCCUGGACCUGCAUUCGAUACGGGCAGACUAGAGUUCGGUAGGGGAGACUGGAAUUCCUGGUGUAGCGGUGAAAUGCGCAGAUAUCAGGAGGAACACCGGUGGCGAAGGCGGGUCUCUGGGCCGAAACUGACGCUGAGGAGCGAAAGCGUGGGGAGCAAACAGG
rnacentral:rRNA from 1 species